AGAGUUUGAUCAUGGCUCAGAACGUACGCUGGCGGCACGCCUAACACAUGCAAGUCGAACGAAGUAGCAAUACUUAGUGGCAAACGGGUGAGUAACAUGUGGGUAUCUGCCCUUCGGUCUGGAAUAACACGGGGAAACUUGUGCUAAUACCGGAUAAGUCUUUUAAGAGAAAGCUUUAUGCACCGAUGGAUGAGCCCGCACCUGAUUAGUUAGUUGGUAAGGUAAUGGCUUACCAAGACAAUGAUCAGUAGCUGAUUUGAGAGGAUGAUCAGCCACAUUGGGACUGAGACACGGCCCAAACUCCUACGGGAGGCAGCAGUGGGGAAUCUUGCACAAUGGGGGCAACCCUGAUGCAGCGAUGCCGCGUGAGUGAAGAAGGCCUUUGGGUUGUAAAGCUCUUUCGUCGGGGAAGAAAAUGACUGUACCCGAAUAAGAAGGUCCGGCUAACUUCGUGCCAGCAGCCGCGGUAAUACGAAGGGACCUAGCGUAGUUCGGAAUUACUGGGCUUAAAGAGUUCGUAGGUGGUUAAAAUAGUUGGUGGUGAAAUCCCAGAGCUUAACUCUGGAACUGCCAUCAAAACUUUUUAGCUAGAGUAUGAUAGAGGAAAGUAGAAUUUCUAGUGUAGAGGUGAAAUUCGUAGAUAUUAGAAAGAAUACCAAUUGCGAAGG
rnacentral:rRNA from 1 species